UUCGGACUGCAGGCUGCAACCCGCCUGCACGAAGUUGGAAUUGCUAGUAAUCGCGGGUCAGCAUACCGCGGUGAAUACGUUCCCGGGCUUUGUACACACCGCCCGUCACACCAUGGGAGCCGGUAACGCCCGAAGUCAGUGACCCAACCGAGAGGAGGGAGCUGCCGAAGGCGGGACAGGUAACUGGGGUGAAGUCGUAACAAGGUAAC
rnacentral:rRNA from 1 species